GGAUGUGAAAGUAAACAGGCUUUGACUUCUGUCACCCACUGAUCAGUGGAACUAAUCCAGGUGAUGUGGCUGGCUAGGCAGGUGUUCCUUUCUGCCUUCCCACUCCAUGCACAUCCUGCAUGCAGCUGUGCACUUGACUGAAGAGAACGCAAACAGAGGAGAAACAGUCUGUCUUAAAGGAUUCAUAGCAUCCGUUUUUAAAAACUAAUAAAGCAUAAACCAGUAUCAUGAGCCACUUUUUUGAUGAAGAAAUUGUAGGGUAGU
rnacentral:sRNA from 1 species